CCCAAAAGACGAUAAACAACUAUGCUUGGGUAAACAAAUCACACUUGGACAAUUGACAGAAUGAUGAACGCACCGCAAUGCUAAUUAUGCUACUUGAUAGUUAGAGGUUCAAUAGUAAUGGAUAGUAUGCCAAGACAAGUAGACCGUUUAUUCAUCAGCAUCUACUUAGUAAUCAUCCACCUUGAGAUAUCUAUCAAGAACAUCUCACCGGUAUUAAGUUGCGAGCCCCACCCAAAGUAUAAACUCAAAGCAACGGACAAUUGCAUUAACGAACUAUGCGUAAGGCAAACAAUCCUUGCAACCGUGGUCACAAGCACCGUUGUGUUCUCCCUAGUGG
rnacentral:lncRNA from 1 species